GAUAGGUGGGAGGCUUUGAAGCGUGGACGCCAGUCUGCGUGGAGCCGACCUUGAAAUACCACCCUUUAAUGUUUGAUGUUCUAACGUGGAUCCGUAAUCCGGGUUGCGGACAGUGUCUGGUGGGUAGUUUGACUGGGGCGGUCUCCUCCUAAAGAGUAACGGAGGAGCACGAAGGUUGGCUAAUCCUGGUCGGACAUCAGGAGGUUAGUGCAAUGGCAUAAGCCAGCUUGACUGCGAGCGUGACGGCGCGAGCAGGUGCGAAAGCAGGUCAUAGUGAUCCGGUGGUUCUGAAUGGAAGGGCCAUCGCUCAACGGAUAAAAGGUACUCCGGGGAUAACAGGCUGAUACCGCCCAAGAGUUCAUAUCGACGGCGGUGUUUGGCACCUCGAUGUCGGCUCAUCACAUCCUGGGGCUGAAGUAGGUCCCAAGGGUAUGGCUGUUCGCCAUUUAAAGUGGUACGCGAGCUGGGUUUAGAACGUCGUGAGACAGUUCGGUCCCUAUCUGCCGUGGGCGCUGGAGAACUGAGGGGGGCUGCUCCUAGUACGAGAGGACCGGAGUGGACGCAUCACUGGUGUUCGGGUUGUCAUGCCAAUGGCACUGCCCGGUAGCUAAAUGCGGAAGAGAUAAGUGCUGAAAGCAUCUAAGCACGAAACUUGCCCCGAGAUGAGUUCUCCCUGAGACUUAGAGUCUCCUGAAGGAACGUUGAAGACGACGACGUUGAUAGGCCGGGUGUGUAAGCGCAGCGAUGCGUUGAGCUAACCGGUACUAAUGAACCGUGAGGCUUAACCUUACAACGCCGAAG
rnacentral:rRNA from 1 species